AUUCACGAACAGGCAGCGCGGCACAUGUCUCCGGCGGUAGCCGUGGAACCCACGGCGACGAAGUCACCAACACCAUGGAGGAGCGCAGCUAGAAGUGAAUCGGAGAGGGCAGCCGCCAGCCGGCGGCGGGGCUCAGGGUCACGCUCACGGCUCACCGCCACGAUGCCCUGGUAUAGAUAUUUAGAUGGGCUGGCACAAAGUCCACAUGUUUAGCCCGGUCCGAAGCACGAGCGAGCACGGCCUGUUUCCUAUAGCGCUCGAGCGAGCACGGCCUGUUUCCUAUAGCGCUCGAGCGAUCACGGUCGUGUUUGGGUCACGGAAAGGCUCGGUACGUGGUACGGAAUUACGGAUAUGAUGUCCCGAUUAAAUGGCUGCUUGGCCCGUUAUGCUCCUCGCCUCUUCGAACCUUAGCUCCCCAGUACCUCUUUCUCCAUCCUUCAAUAGCUCAAUAUAUCUCCCUC
rnacentral:lncRNA from 7 species